rnacentral:rRNA from 1 species
GAUCGGCCCGCGUCUGAUUAGCUAGUUGGUGAGGUAACGGCUCACCAAGGCGACGAUCAGUAGCUGGUCUGAGAGGAUGAUCACCCACAUUGGGACUGAGACACGGCCCAAACUCCUACGGGAGGCAGCAGUGGGGAAUAUUGGACAAUGGGCGCAAGCCUGAUCCAGCCAUGCCGCGUGAGUGAUGAAGGCCCUAGGGUUGUAAAGCUCUUUUGUGCGGGAAGAUAAUGACGGUACCGCAAGAAUAAGCCCCGGCUAACUUCGUGCCAGCAGCCGCGGUAAUACGAAGGGGGCUAGCGUUGCUCGGAAUCACUGGGCGUAAAGGGUGCGUAGGCUGGUCUUUAAGUCAGGGGUGAAAUCCUGGAGCUCAACUCCAGAACUGCCUUUGAUACUGAAGAUCUUGGGUUCGGGAGAGGUGAGUGGAACUGCAAGUGUAAAGGUGAAAUUCUUAGAUAUUCCCAAGACCACCAGUGGGCGAAGGCGGCUCACUGGCCCGAUACCGGACCCUGAAGCACCAAAGGCGUGGGGAGCCAAACGGGAUUAAGUUCCCCUGGUUACCCCACCCCCCUAAAACAAUUUUGGUCCGGGGGGUCCGGGUGCCUUUGCCCCCCCGGGGCCCAAAACCCAAACCGGUAAAACC